CGCACGGUGCGUAACGCGUAUGCAACCUACCAUCAACAGGGGGAUAACACUGAGAAAUUGGUACUAAUACCCCCAUAAUAUCUCAUGCGGCAUCGCAUGGGGUUGAAAACUCCGGUGGUUGAUGAUGGGCAUGCGUUGUAUUAGCUGGUUGGUGAGGUAACGGCUCACCAAGGCGACGAUACAUAGGGGGACUGAGAGGUUAACCCCCCACAUUGGUACUGAGACACGGACCAAACUCCUACGGGAGGCAGCAG
rnacentral:rRNA from 1 species